AUUGAACGCUGGCGGCAUGCCUUACACAUGCAAGUCGAACGGUAACGCGGGGCAACCUGGCGACGAGUGGCGAACGGGUGAGUAAUGCAUCGGAACGUGCCUGGUAGUGGGGGAUAACUGCUCGAAAGAGCAGCUAAUACCGCAUACGACCUGAGGGUGAAAGGGGGGGAUCGCAAGACCUCUCGCUAUCAGAGCGGCCGAUGUCGGAUUAGCUAGUUGGUGGGGUAAAGGCCCACCAAGGCAACGAUCCGUAGCUGGUCUGAGAGGACGACCAGCCACACUGGGACUGAGACACGGCCCAGACUCCUACGGGAGGCAGCAGUGGGGAAUUUUGGACAAUGGACGCAAGUCUGAUCCAGCCAUGCCGCGUGCGGGAAGAAGGCCUUCGGGUUGUAAACCGCUUUUGUCAGGGAAGAAAUCUUCUGGGUUAAUACCUCGGGAGGAUGACGGUACCUGAAGAAUAAGCACCGGCUAACUACGUGCCAGCAGCCGCGGUAACAC
rnacentral:rRNA from 1 species